rnacentral:rRNA from 1 species
GACGAACCGUGCGAACGUUAUUCGGAUUCACUGGGCUUAAAGGGCGCGUAGGCGGACGAGCAAGUCCGGGGUGAAAUCUUUCGGCUCAACCGGAAAAGUGCCUUGGAUACUGCUCGCCUUGAGUGAGGUAGGGGCAUGUGGAACUUCCGGUGGAGCGGUGAAAUGCGUUGAUAUCGGAAGGAACGCCGGUGGCGAAAGCGACGUGCUGGCCCUUAACUGACGCUGAGGCGCGAAAGCCAGGGGAGCAAACGGG